AGGAAUCAAAGCAGUAUAUUCUUAUGUUAAGUUAAAAAAAAACAGAAAAAAACUUAAUUUCUUAGCAAAGUUGAACAUCCUGGGACAAUCUGGCCAGUCCGCACCUGGCCCUUUGUCGCAUUCCUGAAAGUCCUCAACCGCCUAUAAAACCCCAGACCCUAAACCCUUAAAGGCUCCUCUCUCUGAGGUCGCCUGCACUUUCUCUCUCUUUAAGUAACUUUAAAUAAAACUUUUACUCUGCUUCA